GUGAACGCUGGCGGUAGGCCUAACACAUGCAAGUCAAACGGCAGCACAGUAAGAGCUUGCUCUUACGGGUGGCGAGUGGCGGACGGGUGAGGAAUACAUCGGAAUCUACUUUUUCGUGGGGGAUAACGUAGGGAAACUUACGCUAAUACCGCAUACGACCUACGGGUGAAAGUAGGGGAUCUUCGGACCUUGCGCGAUUGAAUGAGCCGAUGUCGGAUUAGCUAGUUGGCGGGGUAAAGGCCCACCAAGGCGACGAUCCGUAGCUGGUCUGAGAGGAUGAUCAGCCACACUGGAACUGAGACACGGUCCAGACUCCUACGGGAGGCAGCAGUGGGGAAUAUUGGACAAUGGGCGCAAGCCUGAUCCAGCCAUACCGCGUGGGUGAAGAAGGCCUUCGGGUUGUAAAGCCCUUUUGUUGGGAAAGAAAAGCAGCAGGUUAAUACCCCGCUGUUCUGACGGUACCCAAAGAAUAAGCACCGGCUAACUUCGUG
rnacentral:rRNA from 1 species